GGGGGGGGUAAAGUAACAGCAUUUUUGGAUUACAAACAUUCAGGGGAAAAAGGUGUCAGGGGAACCCCCACAGGAAGUCACGGCGCUUCACAACAGGAAGUCACGGCGCUUCCCAACAGGAAGUCACUGCGCUUCCCAACAGGAAGUCACUGCGCUUCUCAACAGGAAGUCACUGCGCUUCUCAACAGGAAGUCACUGCGCUUCUCAACAGGAAGUCACUGCGCUUCUCAACAGGAAGUCACUGCGCUUCUCAACAGGAAGUCACUGCAGCUUUUUCUGGUUACGUGUUAACUGCCAAAAUCAGGGGUUUUAAGUUUAUACAAAGAACUGAGGAAAACAUGCUCUCAAGGGAAGACGGUCUAAUAAAUCAUAUUCAUUAGACCGUACUGUAUCAUAUAGGUUAGUCUGAUAUACAUUAGACCAUACUAUAUCAUAUAGGUUAGUCUAUAUCAUAUAGGUUAGUCUGAUAUACAUUAGACCAUACUAUAUCAUAUAGGUUAGUCUAUAUCAUAUAGGUUAGUCUGAUAUACAUUAGACCAUGCUAUAUCAUAUAGAUUAGUCUAUAUCAUAUAGGUUAGUCUGAUAUACAUUAGACCAUACUAUAUCAUAUAGGUUAGUCUAUAUCAUAUAGGUUAGUCUGAUAUACAUUAGACCAUACUAUCAUAUAGGUUAGUCUAAUAUAAAUUAGACGAAACUAUAUCAGAUAUAUCUAUAUUUAUAUCUAUAUAUAUCAUAUAAUAAUGUGUGUGUAUAUAUGUAUGUAUACAUAUGUUAACUUAUAUGUAUACAUUUGUGUAUGUAUAUACACACACAUGUGUAUACAUAUGUGUGUAUGUGUACAUAUGUAAUUAUUGUGUAUAUAUAUAUAUAUAUGUAUAUAACUGUGUAUGUAUCCCUCCGGUGGUCCAGGCUCCUCCUCUGACCUCUGACCUUGACCUGGUUUUGUCUACUUGAGACUUUUAAACUAAACGGCCUUGUGUGUGUUUUUACUUUUCUAUGUUUGAGUGGUUUGUAAAUCCCUAGUGGAGGAACCGGGGUUCCUCUACCUGGUCCCGGGGGGGGCCCUGGGGGGGGCUCCACACCACACCACACCAGCCCCGUGUGGACACGUAGCCACGAUGGACUGUUGCUCAAUUAUGCUCUCAUCCGCAACACCAGGCUUUCCCACACCUGCCAAAUAAAGGGCCGGCCAGGCUCGGGGGGCCGGACCCUGGUUCCGGACCCCGAGGGUGCUGACCCCUGCCCCACCAGUCGCCCCCGACGACCACAGAGCUGUGGGAGGGGGGGGAGGGGCCCAGCACGGUCUUCGGGGACAAGCUCCGCCCUCACAGGAAGUACAGACCCAUGUGUCGGAGGUUGGGUGAUGCAGCGCCGUCGUAUUCAGGGUCAGACUCCUCCCCCCGCCGCCGCCCAGAGCUGGUUAGACCUUUAUACCGGGUCGGGGGGCUCCGGGACCAGGACCAAGGGCUUCAGGGACCAGGACCCGGGGCCCCAGGGUCCAGGACUCUGACCGGUCUGAGGGGGGACCCGGGCCGGGCCUCAGGGCGGACCUCCACCUGCGCUUCACUUCAAACGUCGGUGCCAAGGAGCUCAGGGCCUCUGAGCCUCAGGGCCUCUGAGCCUCAGGGCCUCUGCUCAGGAGCCGAACCUUCAACUUAUUUAUUACGGUUGGACUCUUUAUCGAUUUAUUUCUUUUGUUUUGUCUAAGUGAAGGAAUAAAGAUUUUUAAACCAAG
ensembl:lncRNA